rnacentral:rRNA from 1 species
GACGAACGCUGGCGGCGUGCCUAAUACAUGCAAGUAGAACGCACAGUUUAUACCGUAGCUUGCUACACCAUAGACUGUGAGUUGCGAACGGGUGAGUAACGCGUAGGUAACCUGCCUGGUAGCGGGGGAUAACUAUUGGAAACGAUAGCUAAUACCGCAUAAUAUUAAUUAUUGCAUGAUAAUUAAUUGAAAGGUGCAAUUGCACCACUACCAGAUGGACCUGCGUUGUAUUAGCUAGUAGGUGAGGUAACGGCUCACCUAGGCGACGAUACAUAGCCGACCUGAGAGGGUGAUCGGCCACACUGGGACUGAGACACGGCCCAGACUCCUACGGGAGGCAGCAGUAGGGAAUCUUCGGCAAUGGACGAAAGUCUGACCGAGCAACGCCGCGUGAGUGAAGAAGGUUGUCGGAUCGUAAAGCUCUGUUGUAAGAGAAGAACGGGUGUGAGAGUGGAAAGUUCACACUGUGACGGUAUCUUACCAGAAAGGGACGGCUAACCACGUG